UACGGAGGGGGCUAGCGUUGUUCGGAAUUACUGGGCGUAAAGCGCACGUAGGCGGCGAUUUAAGUCAGAGGUGAAAGCCCGGGGCUCAACCCCGGAAUAGCCUUUGAGACUGGAUUGCUAGAAUCUUGGAGAGGCGAGUGGAAUUCCGAGUGUAGAGGUGAAAUUCGUAGAUAUUCGGAAGAACACCAGUGGCGAAGGCGGCUCGCUGGACAAGUAUUGACGCUGAGGUGCGAAAGCUAGGGGAGCAAACAGG
rnacentral:rRNA from 1 species